AAACUUUCAACAACGGAUCUCUUGGCUCUGGCAUCGAUGAAGAACGCAGCGAAAUGCGAUACAUAAUGUGAAUUGCAGAAUCCAGUGAAUCAUUGAAUCUUUGAACGCACAUUGCGCCUGCUAGUAUCCUGGCCGGCAUGCCUAUUCGAGCGUCUUUU
rnacentral:rRNA from 1 species